CCAGACUCCUACGGGAGGCAGCAGUGAGGAAUAUUGGUCAAUGGUCGGGAGACUGAACCAGCCAAGUCGCGUGAGGGAAGACGGCCCUACGGGUUUUAAACCUCUUUUGUCGGGGAGCAAAUCGAACCACGUGUGGCUCCUUGAGAGUACCCUCAGAAAAAGCAUCGGCUAACUCCGUGCCAGCAGCCGCGGUAAUACGGAGGAUGCUAUCGUUAUCCGGAUUUAUUGGGUUUAAAGGGUGCGCAGGCGGAGGUGCAAGUCAGCGGUCAAAUUGCGGGGCUCAACCCCGUACUGCCGUUGAAACUGCAUCCCUUGAGUGCGCGAGAAGUAUGCGGAAUGCGUGGUGUAGCGGUGAAAUGCAUAGAGAUAAAGCAGAACUCCGAUUGCGAAGGCAGCAUACCGGCGCGCAACUGACGCUCAUGCACGAAAGCGUGGGUAUCGAACAGGAUUAGAUACCCCCGUAC
rnacentral:rRNA from 1 species